GACGAACGCUGGCGGCGUGCUUAACACAUGCAAGUCGAACGGAAAGGCCCUGCUUUUGUGGGGUGCUCGAGUGGCGAACGGGUGAGUAACACGUGAGUAACCUGCCCUUGACUUUGGGAUAACUUCAGGAAACUGGGGCUAAUACCGGAUAGGAGCUCCUGCUGCAUGGUGGGGGUUGGAAAGUUUCGGCGGUUGGGGAUGGACUCGCGGCUUAUCAGCUUGUUGGUGGGGUAGUGGCUUACCAAGGCUUUGACGGGUAGCCGGCCUGAGAGGGUGACCGGCCACAUUGGGACUGAGAUACGGCCCAGACUCCUACGGGAGGCAGCAGUGGGGAAUAUUGCACAAUGGGCGGAAGCCUGAUGCUACAACGCCGUGGGCGGGAAGACGGGCUUCGGGUUGUAAACCGCUUUCGCUCAUGACGAAGCUUUGUGUGACGGUAGUGGGUAAAGAAGCACCGGCUAACUACGUG
rnacentral:rRNA from 1 species